AAAAAGGUAAGCUAAUCAAGCUAAUAGGUUCAUACCCUGUAUAUAAAAGUCUCAAUCUUUUCCUUUUUA
rnacentral:tRNA from 1 species